AUUUAGAGGAAGUAAAAGUCGUAACAAGGUUUCCGUAGGUGAACCUGCGGAAGGAUCAUUAUUGAAAUAAACCUGAUGGGUUGUUGCUGGUUCUCUAGGGAGCAUGUGCACACCUUGUCAUCUUUAUAUCUCCACCUGUGCACUUUUUGUAGACCUUUCAGGUCUAUGUUGCUUCAUUUACCCCAAUGUAUGUUAAUAGAAUGUUGUGCCUAUAUAAUAUAUACAACUUUCAGCAACGGAUCUCUUGGCUCUCGCAUCGAUGAAGAACGCAGCGAAAUGCGAUAAGUAAUGUGAAUUGCAGAAUUCAGUGAAUCAUCGAAUCUUUGAACGCACCUUGCGCUCCUUGGUAUUCCGAGGAGCAUGCCUGUUUGAGUGUCAUUAAUAUAUCAACCUUCUCUUUUUUGAGUUGUUUGGAUGUGGGGGUUUGCUGGCCUCUUAAAUGAUUCAGCUCCCCUGAAAUGCAUUAGCAGAACAACCUGUUCAUUGGCGUGAUAAUUAUCUAUGCUAUUGAAUGUGAGGGCAGUUCAGCUUUCUAACCGUCCUCGGACAAUUCAUCAUUAAUGUGACCUCAAAUCAGGUAGGACUACCCGCUGAACUUAAGCAUAUCAAUA
rnacentral:rRNA from 1 species